rnacentral:rRNA from 1 species
UACGUAGGGUGCAAGCGUUGUCCGGAAUUAUUGGGCGUAAAGAGCUCGUAGGCGGUCUGUUGCGUCGGCUGUGAAAACCCGGGGCUCAACCCCGGGCCUGCAGCCGAUACGGGCAGACUAGAGUUCGGCAGGGGAGACUGGAAUUCCUGGUGUAGCGGUGAAAUGCGCAGAUAUCAGGAGGAACACCGGUGGCGAAGGCGGCUCACUGGCCCAGUACUGACGCUGAGGCGCGAAAGCGUGGGGAGCAAACAGG